rnacentral:rRNA from 1 species
AGAUGGAUUGGUGCCUUCGGGAACUGUGAGACAGGUGCUGCAUGGCUGUCGUCAGCUCGUGUUGUGAAAUGUUGGGUUAAGUCCCGCAACGAGCGCAACCCUUAUCCUUUGUUGCCAGCGGUCCGGCCGGGAACUCAAAGGAGACUGCCAGUGAUAAACUGGAGGAAGGUGGGGAUGACGUCAAGUCAUCAUGGCCCUUACGACCAGGGCUACACACGCGCUACAAUGGCGCAUACAAAGAGAAGCGACCUCGCGAGAGCAAGCGGACCUCAUAAAGUGCGUCGUAGUCCGGAUUGGAGUCUGCAACUCGACUCCAUGAAGUCGGAAUCGCUAGUAAUCGUGGAUCAGAAUGCCACGGUGAAUACGUUCCCGGGCCUUGUACACACCGCCCGUCACACCAUGGGAGUGGGUUGCAAAAGAAGUAGGUAGCUUAACCUUCGGGAGGGCGCUUACCACUUUGUGAUUCAUGACUGGGGUGAAGUCGUAACAAGGUAACCGUAGGGGAACCUGCGGCUGGAUCACCUC